UACAGAGGGUGCGAGCGUUAAUCGGAAUUACUGGGCGUAAAGCGUGCGUAGACGGUUAUCUAAGUCGGAUGUGAAAGCCCCGGGCUCAACCUGGGAAUUGCAUUCGAGACUGAAUAGCUAGGGUACGGUAGAGGGAAGUGGAAUUUCCGGUGUAGCGGUGAAAUGCGUAGAUAUCUAUCGGAACGCCAAAGGUGAAGACAGGCCGCUGGGCUUGUACUGACGCUGAGGAACGAAAGCGUGGGGAGCAAACGGG
rnacentral:rRNA from 1 species